UACUACGUAGUUGAACAUACCACAUUACAUGUCACUGGUGAUGUGAAGUUAAUCUCUCUUGAAGAGACCAUCAGGAAAAGAAUCUCUUGCAAGUGUUUGUGGAUCCAUCAUUCAUGGAUUUUUCCAACUACUCAAUAGCCUGAUUCCUACAUCUCAAGGAUUUAUUUUUGUUGGUAUAAACUAGCUAGCUGUUGGGCUUCCUUGGCAUGCAUCUCGCGUUUUACACGGAUGAUGAAAAAUGAAUUGUAAAACUUGUUGCUUUUUCUUAGUAUAUAUAUGCCGUUCAAAGGAUUUCCAAGGAAUCGGACCAAGUUAAUGAUCAGUUUCAUACUAAUUCAUACUUUGAUGCAUGGUAUGUGUGGUAGUCGUCCAAGAUGCAUGCCAUAUCUAGCUUCAAUUAACUGAAAACAUCCUUGUUUCACAUAUUUUGGCAAGUACAGAUGAUAAAGAUUCACGAUUUGGCUGCGCGCAUGCUUGCUGGCUGGAGGAGUUUGAUUCAUUACUUAAUGGCCUCAAAAUGGAUACAGGAUCUGUUGGAAUCAAGAAGGCGUUAAGGACGACGUCAAAAGCAAAAGGAACUAAGGAAGGGUUCUCGAGGUCUGCUCCUUCUCCACUGGUAGAGAGGAGCCUCCUUCUCAUGAUUCGCCUGUCUGCCCGGGCCCUCCCCGGCUAGAGCUGACGCCAUGGAAGGUCCCUUACCCCUCUUCCUCCUCUCUUCUGUUCCCUCUUUGUUAUGGGCGCAGUCAAUUUUUUUUAUUCUUUCUCUCUUUCCGAUUUAAACAUGAGCAUGCCCGUGCUCUUUUUUUGGUUGUGGUAGCUGUCAUAUCAUGUUGCAGUUUUAGUUACAUUUUUUGGUCCCAUGUAUAUCCAAAUCAAAAAACACUUGUGGUUUGGUACAGUUAUAUUGCAAGUCGAAAAAUAUUAUAUGUGUUAACAUCGGAUGGUCCAAGUUGAAA